GACUCUCCAUACACCCCUCACACGAAGAACUUGAAUCUCCAUCAGAUCUUCUGUAUGCAUGUGUAAGACGCCUUCUUUGCUUCCCUUUUUUUUCUUUUUUUUUUCUACUCGUACUUCACCACACGAGUUGAAGUCGAUUCGUUUUUAGCUGACCCCUGUUUCUUCUUUAUCUUCGAGGUAACUCAACCGACAAAACUACCCCGAGCUCCACCUCAACCUAACAGGCGAGGACUUUGGCCAACUCCAGACACUUCUGAAAAGCCGGACCAGGUAGACACUUAGUCAAGAAAUCAGCUGCAUUUAGGGUAGUAUGCACCUUGAUUAGGUUAAC
rnacentral:lncRNA from 1 species